CGAGAGGCUGAACCAGCCAAGUCGCGUGAAGGAAGAAGGAUCUAUGGUUUGUAAACUUCUUUUAUAGGGGAAUAAAGUGGAGGACGUGUCCUUUUUUGUAUGUACCCUAUGAAUAAGCAUCGGCUAACUCCGUGCCAGCAGCCGCGGUAAUACGGAGGAUGCGAGCGUUAUCCGGAUUUAUUGGGUUUAAAGGGUGCGUAGGUGGUGAUUUAAGUCAGCGGUGAAAGUUUGUGGCUCAACCAUAAAAUUGCCGUUGAAACUGGGUUACUUGAGUGUGUUUGAGGUAGGCGGAAUGCGUGGUGUAGCGGUGAAAUGCAUAGAUAUCACGCAGAACUCCGAUUGCGAAGGCAGCUUACUAAACCAUAACUGACACUGAAGCACGAAAGCGUGGGGAUCAAACAGGAUUAGAUACCCUGGUAGUCCACGCAGUAAACGAUGAUUACUAGGAGUUUGCGAUACAAUGUAAGCUCUACAGCGAAAGCGUUAAGUAAUCCACCUGGGGAGUACGCCGGCAACGGUGAAACUCAAAGGAAUUGACGGGGGCCCGCACAAGCGGAGGAACAUGUGGUUUAAUUCGAUGAUACGCGAGGAACCUUACCCGGGUUUGAACGUAGUCUGACCGGAGUGGAAACACUCUUUCUAGCAAUAGCAGAUUACGAGGUGCUGCAUGGUUGUCGUCAGCUCGUGCCGUGAGGUGUCGGCUUAAGUGCCAUAACGAGCGCAACCCUUAUCACUAGUUACUAACAGGUGAAGCUGAGGACUCUGGUGAGACUGCCAGCGUAAGCUGUGAGGAAGGUGGGGAUGACGUCAAAUCAGCACGGCCCUUACAUCCGGGGCGACACACGUGUUACAAUGGCAUGGACAAAGGGCAGCUACCUGGUGACAGGAUGCUAAUCUCCAAACCAUGUCUCAGUUCGGAUCGGAGUCUGCAACUCGA
rnacentral:rRNA from 1 species